rnacentral:rRNA from 1 species
CCAGGCUUGAACAGCGAGUGACCACUCCUGAAAAGGAGCUUCCGCAAGGACACUCGUAGAGGUGCUGCAUGGCUGUCGUCAGCUCGUGUCGUGAGAUGUUGGGUUAAGUCCCGCAACGAGCGCAACCCUUGUUUGCUGUUGCCAUCACGUUAUGGUGGGCACUCUGCAAAGACUGCCGGUGAUAAACCGGAGGAAGGUGGGGAUGACGUCAAGUCAGCAUGGCCUUUAUGUCUGGGGCUACACACGUGCUACAAUGGCCGGUACAAACCGUCGCAAAACCGUAAGGUCGAGCUAAUCGGAGAAAGCCGGUCUCAGUUCGGAUCGUCGGCUGCAACUCGCCGGCGUGAAGUUGGAAUCGCUAGUAAUCGCGGAUCAGCACGCCGCGGUGAAUACGUUCCCGGGCCUUGUACACACCGCCCGUCACAUCACGAAAGCCGGUUGUACUAGAAGUCGCCACACCAACCCGCAAGGGAGGGAGGCGCCUAAGGUAUGGUCGGUGAUUGGGGUG